rnacentral:rRNA from 1 species
UGGGGAAUAUUGCACAAUGGGCGAAAGCCUGAUGCAGCAACGCCGCGUGAGUGAUGAAGGCCUUCGGGUUGUAAAGCUCUGUCUUCUGGGACGAUAAUGACGGUACCAGAGGAGGAAGCCACGGCUAACUACGUGCCAGCAGCCGCGGUAAUACGUAGGUGGCAAGCGUUGUCCGGAUUUACUGGGCGUAAAGGAUGCGUAGGCGGAUACUUAAGUCAGAUGUGAAAAUCCCGGGCUUAACUUGGGAACUGCAUUUGAAACUGGGUAUCUAGAGUGCGGGAGAGGAAAGGGGAAUUCCUAGUGUAGCGGUGAAAUGCGUAGAGAUUAGGAAGAACACCAGUGGGGAAGGCGACUUUCUGGACCGUAACUGACGCUGAGGCAUGAAAGCGUGGGGAGCAAACA